CCAAAAGAUGCCAUUCAUCCAAGAUGCCAUUCAUCCAUUCAUCCAAGAUGCCAUUCAUCCAAGAUGCCAUUCAUCCAUUCAUCCAAGAUGCCAUUCAUCCGCUGCGCCACUUGGGAGGCCCCCGAUUUGAUUUUCUAAUAUGACUAAUUGCAUGCAUUACAGUAACACCGCCCAUUGAGAAAAGUAACCCCACCUUCUGAAGAGGCUAAAGAGAGUGAAGUUUCACGCUUUCCUCACUCGUGGAGGUCAAACGUGUACCAAAUGUUAUGUAACCUACUGUUGUCAGUAGCAUAUUAUUCAUUGAAAGUCGACAUGACCCUUACAAAAGCUGGAUAAUAUCCCCGAACGUUAAGUUUGGUUCUGCAUUGAUGCAUUGAAUCCCGGCAAAACUAUUUAGCUCCGGCUGUGAAUAUAUUCUCAGAGAUCAUCCUUUCAGAAGCACCGGAGGAGGAGGAGACUGAGGAACCAUCUGCUGAACCAGAGCUGACAAUAGAGGAAGCUCUGGAAGAGAAGGUAGUGGAGGAAGGGACAGCAGAGCCCAAACCCGAGGAGGUAGAACCUGCAGCCGAAGAACUGAAGGUCAAGCAAGCUGCUCCUCCUGCAGAACAAGUAGUGUGCCCUUGUAUGCAUUCGUCCAAGCCCAAAGAGGCCAAAAGUGAGCCAACGGAGGGGAAAGGUAUUUAUAUACCGAUAAUAGAUCAAUAUCAUGCAUGGUAGUGGAGAAGUGAGAGCCAUUCAUUACUAACCCCUUUUUAUCUUUACCGUACCUUCGGCUGACCUUAUUUCUCAUAGUAAGGGCUGUGUUCCCCUAUGGGCCAGAUGCAUUUUUAUAUGCCAAAUAUUGGAGUGAUUCUUUCUGCAUUGCUUUAGUCUUGAAUUCAUCUUGAACGUAGAACUGGCUGUAGAGAGAAGCUUUACAAAUGGCAGGAAGUAUCCUCUGACUUUGAGAGGAUCUUAUGUGUAGUAGACUAGUGUCCAUCUGUUUCUGACUUACGAGUCUAUUGGCAAUACUUAUUAAAACUUUGUUUGGACGAUAUCCGUGUUGUAAGUUCCAUUUGUGGCUUAAAUGGUGUUGUUGAUGGUGGUGUUGUGGUGUUGUUGACAUACUAACUCUCAUUGUCCAUUGUUACAACUUGCAGUGUUUCUACCAAACAUAUAUUUAAAGUUCAGUAAUGACAAUCCUGUGACUUCAUAUUGCGUUGUGGUUGGUGUUUCCUUGGUUUUGCUUCUCAAAGUCGCCAUCUAGUGGAAAGGUUUAGAUAAGCCAUGCAUUAGGGUGCAUUUCACUAAUGGACGGUAUAUCUGUGACAUAUAGCUAAAAGUGUCAGGAGGGAAUUAGCCAGGGAAGGUAUGCUAGAGUCACUUUAUCCUUUGUGUGGUUAGGAAUAGCAACACAGUAGUGUAUCUCUUCUUGCUCCCUUACGGAGGGUGUUGGUCGCUGUUGAAGUAAGAGCUUAUAUAGAAGUAGAGGAACAGGAAUGCAAAGCACUUAACAGGCCCAGAGCAGCACUCUCAAUAUGUAACUCUCAAUGUGUAACAUUGUGUAGGGCGGCUGUAGCCUAGCGGUUAGAGCGUUGGACCAGUAACCAAAAGAUCGCUCGAAUGCCCGCUGGAAAGUACUAUAAACUGUGAAGCAUCCAUGUAUGCUGUAAAUGAUAUGCACCAGUGACGCUGGUCUCACGUUUUUGCAUGUUUUUGUAAGAUUUCACUUGAAGUGUUCAGAUGUAGUGUGUUUUUGUCUUAAUAACAUGUUUGUAACUGGAAGUACGUUGAGACCUCAGAGAGCAUGGCAGUAUUGAAGCUUGCUGCAAUAGGCACAAUGCUGGCCCCUGCUGUUUGAAAAGAGGCAAAUCUACAUUGGUGAUGGAUACGGUAUGUCUAUAUCUAUACAUUGUGUCGAUGUGUUUUCUGUUUGAUAGCGCUAUGCUAGAAAGGCACAUUAUAUGAGCAUUGCAUGAUAAAGUAUGCACUCUGAGUUGUUGACUUUGUAGGAUCUCAAGUGUCCUAUUGCUUGUCUGAAACUACCUUUUUCAGAGUAAGAUAAAAGGUUAAAGACAAUCAAAAUUGAACACUGGUCUGUAACACAUUCAUAUUAUAUGUUAGCUGAGUCCGAGCCUAAUUUAAAAUGUAUUAAUAAUAUCAUUUUUUCAAAACUCAACUUUGUGACUUGUUUGACUACCAAGUUUCUCAUCCACAGUUAAAAUGGCCACUCCCGACAGGAAGAGCAUGUGUUGUGAAGCUGAGAUGUCAUGUUGCUUUGAAAGUAGCUUUGAGACUAGAGGGGACAGAUGAACCAAUUCAAUUUUAGUGCAAAUCUGUUGAUCUUUAUACUGGUGGAGUGUCUUUCAUUCUCUUCCGGUUUGAUCGGGUAUCUUUUCAAAGUUAAAGAUGGAACAAAAAUGGAAUUGUAUAUUCUUGAUGGUUUAUCUGCUUCACCUCUUUGCGACAUUUGACAUAAGUAGUUAGCUGUUCAAUAUAAUAAUGCCAAUGUUGAUCUAAGCUAUUUAAAUGUUCACACAUUUUUAAUUUUCAUAUUUUUUUUCAUACAAUAUGUUUUUAUUAUAAAACAGCAAUACAUGCCUGAACGUGUUCUCAAAAAGCUGGCGUCCAUCUUUGGCAUGCAACUACAGCGCUAAGCAAGAAUGUGGAUAGAAUGUUCCCUUAUGUAUUCUGCGUUCAUUUUCAGAGCCCCCUAAAAAGGAACCAGUAGUGAGAGCUAAGAGAGGUACUGUGUGACAACUAUGUGUUUUCUGUAUUUUUACUGUGUAUUUGAGUGUUGAUCAUACAGAAUAUUAGGUAAGGACGAAACAUGCUGAAAGUAAUAGUUGCUCGAUAUAUGAGAAGAACAUCAAUGACAUGUAUUCAUGAUUGAUUUCCCCCCUUU
rnacentral:lncRNA from 8 species